rfam:Bacillus pseudalcaliphilus strain DSM 8725 Contig28, whole genome shotgun sequence.
UAACCGUACUCGAAACGGGUACGCUGAACAACAGGCGUCAGCUGAGGUCAUAGUACCUUGUCGCUUAAGAGACAAGGGAAGGAC